rnacentral:rRNA from 1 species
UACGUAGGCAGCAAGCGUUGUUCGGAGUUACUGGGCGUAAAGGGUGCGUAGGCGGCCUUAUAAGUAUGGUGUGAAAUCUCCCGGCUUAACUGGGAGGGUGCGCUAUAGACUGUGGGGCUAGAGUGUGGGAGAGGAAAGUGGAAUUCUUGGUGUAGCGGUGAAAUGCGUAGAUAUCAAGAGGAACACCUGUGGCGAAAGCGGCUCACUGGACCAUAACUGACGCUGAUGCACGAAAGCUAGGGGAGCAAACAGG